rnacentral:tRNA from 1 species
AGCCGAUUAGCUCAGUGGAUCUUUAGAGCGUCUGACUACGAAUCAGAAGGACGCGGGUUCGAGUCCCGCAUCGGCUUCCA